AGUGAACGCUGGCGGUAGGCCUAACACAUGCAAGUCGAACGGCAGCACAGUAAGAGCUUGCUCUUACGGGUGGCGAGUGGCGGACGGGUGAGGAAUACAUCGGAAUCUACUUUUUCGUGGGGGAUAACGUAGGGAAACUUACUCUAAUACCGCAUACGACCUACGGGUGAGAGCAGGGGAUCUUCGGACCUUGCGCGAUUGAAUGAGCCGAUGUCGGAUUAGCUAGUUGGCGGGGUAAAGGCCCACCAAGGCGACGAUCCGUAGCUGGUCUGGGAGGAUGAUCAGCCACAUUGGAACUGAGACACGGUCCAGACUCCUACGGGAGGCAGCAGUGGGGAAUAUUGGACAAUGGGCGCAAGCCUGAUCCAGCCAUACCGCGUGGGUGAAGAAGGCCUUCGGGUUGUAAAGCCCUUUUGUUGGGAAAGAAAAGCAGCAGGUUAAUACCCCGCUGUUCUGACGGUACCCAAAGAAUAAGCACCGGCUAACUUCGUG
rnacentral:rRNA from 1 species